rnacentral:rRNA from 1 species
UACGUAGGGAGCAAGCGUUGUCCGGAAUUAUUGGGCGUAAAGGGCUCGUAGGCGGUCUGUUGCGUCGGGAGUGAAAACUUACAGCUUAACUGUGAGCGUGCUUCCGAUACGGGCAGACUUGAGGUAUUCAGGGGAGAACGGAAUUCCUGGUGUAGCGGUGAAAUGCGCAGAUAUCAGGAGGAACACCGGUGGCGAAGGCGGUUCUCUGGGAAUAUCCUGACGCUGAGGAGCGAAAGUGUGGGGAGCGAACAGG